rnacentral:tRNA from 1 species
GCACUCGUAGAUCAGCGGAUAGAUCGCUUCCCUCCGAAGGAAGAAGUCACUGGUUCAAAUCCAGUCGGGUGUA